UUGCAGUGUGUGGUACUGAUAGGGAGUCCAAUAUUUGAAGCUACCACAACUGUGAACGCCGAAGCCAACUCAAUAGUGAAUCCACUGCAGGAAGCAUAAGAAAACACUUGACAGUCACAUUUUGUUUGCAUUACUGUCGCCCAUCAUAGCAGGCAAGACAAACAUUUUAACUGGAAUAACUUUCAAUGUCUGCUUCAGUGAAAAUAGAACAGCAGACUGCAUGCAAUCACAUGCUCCAAGACAGGACUGAGAAACAUCUAGGCCUUUUAAUCACAAGAUUAAGACUGACAAAUAAGAUGGGCAACACAAAACCUACGCUCUUAGGGGUAAACUGUAUGUUGACCACCUUAAAGUCAAUGUGUAUCAUGUCAUGUUCCAGUGGGUAGAUCUACACAGUGACUGACAACUAUUGUUUGUUGCAGUCGUAUAGAGAAGACUGUCAAUCACUAAGUAAGACUGCCCACUGGACUCCAAAGGAAAGAAAAAGAAGUAUUCUGCGCCGAGAAGCAGCAGUACGGCAGAGAAAGACAGGUGCUGGACGGAGAUCGCGGGGGUCCCAGCGCAGCAUAAAAUAUUGGGAGAGCCCGUAGUCCAUCAGGAACUGGAUCCUCCUGCAAAAACAAAAAGGGUUUAUUUGCAGCAACUUUAGAUAGGUAGCAUGUAAAGGGUUGGAUUUACCUUAUUCAAGAUGAAAAACUUAAUCAGCAUAAAGAGAGCACCAGACAUCAGGCCGGAGAGAAGAGGUGAAAUGAACCAAGA